rnacentral:rRNA from 1 species
GACGAACGCUGGCGGCGUGCUUAACACAUGCAAGUCGAACGGAAAGACCCUGCUUUUGUGGGGUGCUCGAGUGGCGAGCGGGUGAGUAACACGUGAGUAACCUGCCCUUGACUUUGGGAUAACUUCAGGAAACUGGGGCUAAUACCGGAUAGGAGCUCCUGCUGCAUGGUGGGGGUUGGAAAGUUUCGGCGGUUGGGGAUGGACUCGCGGCUUAUCAGCUUGUUGGUGGGGUAGUGGCUUACCAAGGCUUUGACGGGUAGCCGGCCUGAGAGGGUGACCGGCCACAUUGGGACUGAGAUACGGCCCAGACUCCUACGGGAGGCAGCAGUGGGGAAUAUUGCACAAUGGGCGGAAGCCUGAUGCAGCAACGCCGCGUGCGGGAUGACGGCCUUCGGGUUGUAAACCGCUUUCGCCUGUGACGAAGCGUGAGUGACGGUAAUGGGUAAAGAAGCACCGGCUAACUACGUG